CCUGAGAAACCCAAAAGAUCGAUCGGGGUGAUUCAUCGUCAGCGAUUUUGGUACGUGGAGGGCUCGCGAUGCCGCUGGUYCUAAACGUUCCGGUGACACGCGUUCUUCCAUGUUUAAAUUUCCAAUUUUCGUCGGCGUGCACUUCUCCCCCAGUAGAACGUCGCGACCCGUUGGGUGUCGGUUUACGGCCCGGAUGGCAAACUGUCGUACGUCGCGCCUCGUGCAAGACAUGCGGCAGACCACCGGCAGCCCGACCGGCUGCCCGGCGGUACUAACACGGUAUUCAGCCGCAAAUGAUAUUUUAUAAUGCGUCCGACCCGCAUCAAGGUGUGUUAGGCCAGUGUUUCCCGAAUGCGCGGACCUAGCGCCGUCACCGGGCCUGGCCGGCCUGUUGGUAGGCGGUGUAUAUUUGGACUGGCUGUUAAAAAUAUCGGUCGGCGACGCCACUGCUUUGGGUACUUUCAGGACCCGUCUUGAAACACGGACCAAGGAGUCUAACAUGUGCGCGAGUCAUUGGGAACUGUUAAGCCUAAAGGCGCAAUGAAAGUGAAGUUCGGCCUCGACCGCCGUCCGAGGGAGGAUGGGUCGCGCGUGAUGCGGUCCCGCACUCCCGGGGCGUCUCGUUCUCAUUACGAGAAGAGGCGCACCCAGAGCGUACACGUUGGGACCCG
rnacentral:rRNA from 1 species